GGGUUGUGAGGUUAAGCGACUAAGCGUACACGGUGGAUGCCCUGGCAGUCAGAGGCGAUGAAGGGCGUGCUAAUCUGCGAUAAGCGCCGGUAAGGUGAUAUGAACCGUUAUAACCGGCGAUACCCGAAUGGGGAAACCCAGUGUGAUUCGUCACACUAUCAUUAACUGAAUCCAUAGGUUAAUGAGGCGAACCGGGGGAACUGAAACAUCUAAGUACCCCGAGGAAAAGAAAUCAACCGAGAUUCCCCCAGUAGCGGCGAGCGAACGGGGAGGAGCCCAGAGCCUGAAUCAGCAUGUGUGUUAGUGGAAGCGUCUGGAAAGGCGCGCGAUACAGGGUGACAGCCCCGUACACAAAAGCGCAUGUGCUGUGAGCUCGAUGAGUAGGGCGGGACACGUGGUAUCCUGUCUGAAUAUGGGGGGACCAUCCUCCAAGGCUAAAUACUCCUGACUGACCGAUAGUGAACCAGUACCGUGAGGGAAAGGCGAAAAGAACCCCGGCGAGGGGAGUGAAAAAGAACCUGAAACCGUGUACGUACAAGCAGUGGGAGCNNGUGACUGCGUACCUUUUGUAUAAUGGGUCAGCGACUUAUAUUCUGUAGCAAGGUUAACCGUAUAGGGGAGCCGGAGGGAAACCGAGUCUUAAUUGGGCGUUAAGUUGCAGGGUAUAGACCCGAAACCCGGUGAUCUAGCCAUGGGCAGGUUGAAGGUUGGGUAACACUAACUGGAGGACCGAACCGACUAAUGUUGAAAAAUUAGCGGAUGACCUGUGGCUGGGGGUGAAAGGCCAAUCAAACCGGGAGAUAGCUGGUUCUCCCCGAAAGCUAUUUAGGUAGCGCCUCGUGAAUUCAUCUCCGGGGGUAGAGCACUGUUUCGGCUAGGGGGCCAUCCCGGCUUACCAACCCGAUGCAAACUGCGAAUACCGGAGAAUGUUAUCACGGGAGACACACGGCGGGUGCUAACGUCCGUCGUGAAGAGGGAAACAACCCAGACCGCCAGCUAAGGUCCCAAAGUCAUGGUUAAGUGGGAAACGAUGUGGGAAGGCCCAGACAGCCAGGAUGUUGGCUUAGAAGCAGCCAUCAUUUAAAGAAAGCGUAAUAGCUCACUGGUCGAGUCGGCCUGCGCGGAAGAUGUAACGGGGCUAAACCAUGCACCGAAGCUGCGGCAGCGANNUGCUGGAGGUAUCAGAAGUGCGAAUGCUGACAUAAGUAACGAUAAAGCGGGUGAAAAGCCCGCUCGCCGGAAGACCAAGGGUUCCUGUCCAACGUUAAUCGGGGCAGGGUGAGUCGACCCCUAAGGCGAGGCCGAAAGGCGUAGUCGAUGGGAAACGGGUUAAUAUUCCCGUACUUGGUGUUACUGCGAAGGGGGGACGGAGAAGGCUAUGUUGGCCGGGCGACGGUUGUCCCGGUUUAAGCGUGUAGGUGUGUGUUCCAGGUAAAUCCGGUUCACUUUAACACUGAGGCGUGACGACGAGGCACUACGGUGCUGAAGCAACAAAUGCCCUGCUUCCAGGAAAAGCCUCUAAGCAUCAGGUAACAUCAAAUCGUACCCCAAACCGACACAGGUGGUCAGGUAGAGAAUACCAAGGCGCUUGAGAGAACUCGGGUGAAGGAACUAGGCAAAAUGGUGCCGUAACUUCGGGAGAAGGCACGCUGACACGUAGGUGAAGUGAUUUACUCAUGGAGCUGAAGUCAGUCGAAGAUACCAGCUGGCUGCAACUGUUUAUUAAAAACACAGCACUGUGCAAACACGAAAGUGGACGUAUACGGUGUGACGCCUGCCCGGUGCCGGAAGGUUAAUUGAUGGGGUCAGCGCAAGCGAAGCUCCUGAUCGAAGCCCCGGUAAACGGCGGCCGUAACUAUAACGGUCCUAAGGUAGCGAAAUUCCUUGUCGGGUAAGUUCCGACCUGCACGAAUGGCGUAAUGAUGGCCAGGCUGUCUCCACCCGAGACUCAGUGAAAUUGAACUCGCUGUGAAGAUGCAGUGUACCCGCGGCAAGACGGAAAGACCCCGUGAACCUUUACUAUAGCUUGACACUGAACAUUGAGCCUUGAUGUGUAGGAUAGGUGGGAGGCUUUGAAGUGUGGACGCCAGUCUGCAUGGAGCCGACCUUGAAAUACCACCCUUUAAUGUUUGAUGUUCUAACGUGGACCCGUAAUCCGGGUUGCGGACAGUGUCUGGUGGGUAGUUUGACUGGGGCGGUCUCCUCCUAAAGAGUAACGGAGGAGCACGAAGGUUGGCUAAUCCUGGUCGGACAUCAGGAGGUUAGUGCAAUGGCAUAAGCCAGCUUGACUGCGAGCGUGACGGCGCGAGCAGGUGCGAAAGCAGGUCAUAGUGAUCCGGUGGUUCUGAAUGGAAGGGCCAUCGCUCAACGGAUAAAAGGUACUCCGGGGAUAACAGGCUGAUACCGCCCAAGAGUUCAUAUCGACGGCGGUGUUUGGCACCUCGAUGUCGGCUCAUCACAUCCUGGGGCUGAAGUAGGUCCCAAGGGUAUGGCUGUUCGCCAUUUAAAGUGGUACGCGAGCUGGGUUUAGAACGUCGUGAGACAGUUCGGUCCCUAUCUGCCGUGGGCGCUGGAGAACUGAGGGGGGCUGCUCCUAGUACGAGAGGACCGGAGUGGACGCAUCACUGGUGUUCGGGUUGUCAUGCCAAUGGCACUGCCCGGUAGCUAAAUGCGGAAGAGAUAAGUGCUGAAAGCAUCUAAGCACGAAACUUGCCCCGAGAUGAGUUCUCCCUGAGACUU
rnacentral:rRNA from 1 species